GGCGCACGGGUGCGUAACGCGUGGGAAUCUGCCCUUGGGUACGGAAUAACUCAGAGAAAUUUGUGCUAAUACCGUAUAAUGACUUCGGUCCAAAGAUUUAUCGCCCAAGGAUGAGCCCGCGUAAGAUUAGCUAGUUGGUGGGGUAAAAGCCCACCAAGGCGACGAUCUUUAGCUGGUCUGAGAGGAUGAUCAGCCACACUGGGACUGAGACACGGCCCAGACUCCUACGGGAGGCAGCAGUAGGGAAUAUUGGACAAUGGGCGGAAGCCUGAUCCAGCCAUGCCGCGUGGAGGAUUAAGGCCCUCUGGGUUGUAAACUCCUUUUAUCUGGGAAGAACCAUUCCGACUUGUCGGAACAUGACGGUACCAGAGGAAUAAGCACCGGCUAACUCCGUG
rnacentral:rRNA from 1 species